GUGCUCGCUUCGGCAGCACAUACACUAAAUUUGGAAUGAUACAGAGAUUAGCAUGGCCUUGUGCAAGGAUGACACGCAAAUCUGUGAAGCAUUCCAUAUUUUU